rnacentral:tRNA from 1 species
CGAGAGGUGUUUCGAACACUAAGAACUGCUAAUUCUUAUCUCCUGAAGUUAAAUUCCUCAGACCCCUCACUUUUAAAG